ensembl:lncRNA
AAAAAAACUAAUUAAAAACAAUGAAAAUAAAAACUGAAAUAUUUACAACCCAACAAACAUAAGAAAAAAGAAUGACAAAAAAGCACACUAAGAAAAAGCUAAACUAAAAAUACGUGUUUUAAGAUGUUUUAAAUAUGUCCACAGUUUCGUCCCUCAGGUUCUCUGGCAGGCUGUUCCAGAGGCUGGGGGCAUAGUAACUAAAGGCUGGGGGCAUAGUAACUAAAGGCUGGGGGCAUAGUAACUAAAGGCUGGGGGCAUAGUAACUAAAGGCUGGGGGCAUAGUAACUAGAGACUGGGAGCAUAGUAACUAGAGGCUGGGGGCAUAGUAACUAAAGGCUGGGGGCAUAGUAACUAAAGGCUGGGGGCAUAGUAACUAAAGGCUGUCUCUCCAUGCCUCUUGGUCCCAGGCUUUGGGAUAGUUAAAAGGCUGUCUCUCCAUGCCUCUUGGUGCUUGGCUUUGGGAUAGUUAAAAGACCAGAGGCCCUGAGGGACCUACUGGGUACAUAACUUAAAUCAAAACUGGUGUCAUGUGUGUUCUCCGUCUGGUCUUGGUCAGUACCCGUGCUGCAGCAUUCUGUAUGUUUUACAGUACAGAGACCUUAAAACCGGUGUCAUGUGUGUUCUCCGUCUGGUCUUGGUCAGUACCCUGCAGCAUUCUGUAUGUUUUACAGUUGACCAAUGGCUUUCUUGGGUAGACCAGACAGGAGAGCAUUACAGUAAUCAAGUCUGCUUGUAAUAAAAGCGAUGAGUCUCUCUGUUUCAGCCUGAGAGAGAAACGGCCACACCUUGGCAAUGUUCCUCAGGUGGUCAAAAGCUAUCUUGUUCACAUUCCUGAUUGUGUGAUUAGAAAUUGAGUUCAGAAUCUAAAAUAACAACUAGUUUUUUUUACUUGGUGUUUUAUCUUUAUUACUGUGAGUUAAAAUGUGCGUCCAGAUUCUCUCUGUGCUUCAGUUCCA